AACGAACGCUGGCGGCAUGCCUAACACAUGCAAGUCGAACGAGACCUUCGGGUCUAGUGGCGCACGGGUGCGUAACGCGUGGGAACCUGCCCUUAGGUUCGGAAUAACUCCCCGAAAGGGGUGCUAAUACCGGAUCAUGUCUUCGGUCCAAAGAUUUAUCGCCUUUGGAUGGGCCCGCGUUGGCUUAGCUAGUUGGGAGGGUAAAAGCCUACCACGGCGACGAUCCAUAGCUGGUCUGAGAGGAUGAUCAGCCACACUGGGACGGGGACACGGCCGAGACUCCUACGGGAUGGAGGAGUGGGUAAUAUUGGACAAUGGGCGGAAGCCUGAUCCAGCAAGGCCGCGUGAGUGAUAAAGGCCGGAGGGUUGUAAAGCUCUUUUACCCGUGAUGAUAAUGACAGUACCGGGAGAAUAAGCACCGGCUAACUCCGUG
rnacentral:rRNA from 1 species